GGUGAGAGGAGAGAGGCAGGGAAGAGAGAAAGAAAGGGAGAGGCACGGGCAGAGAGCAAGGGAAGGAUGGGAAACAGCCCAGAGAGACUGAGAAAGAGAGGGAUGCGGAUCAGGACAAGGAGGGGGAGAAGGACAGAACAGCAAUGGUCUCCAGGAUGGGGACGGCGGAGGAGCAGAAGGGGAUGGGGAGCAGGACGGAGACCCAGGGAGAAGAGAGAAGGCCCACCCAGCUGAGCAGGGGAUACAGGCAGGAAAGAGGGGCCAGGCUGCAGGAGAGAGAGGAAUGAGAAAAUACAGACAGGGAGCGAGAAAGAGAAAGAAAAAAAUAGUGGAGAGAGGGAGGAAUUAAAAAAUGGGGGCAGGGAGCCAGACAGAGUGCGAUGGGGAGAGACCAAAAAUAGCAAUUCUGGGCAACUGCCCCCAUUUCUUGAGCACUCCCCAGGAGCUACAUUACCGGGAACCUCAAGGAAUGUGCUGCCUGCCAAAGCCCUGCCCUGGGCCCAGUCCUGUGCCCUAGUAUUGGUGACGAGCAUUGCCUUGCAUAGUGGCAAGGACUGAGGGAAGAAGAGGACAGCUGGGGGGGGGAAAAAUCACCGAACUGGUUUUUGGUUUUUGUUUUGUUUUUUUUUGCUUGAUGUUUUUGCUUUUAAAAAGAAUACUAUUUAAGCUCUAAAUACAAACUGCGAGGAAAAAGGAACCAGGCAUACCAGUCUGGACACAUUUAAAGCCUGAACCCAUUCAACAGCUGCACCAACCACCACUCACUCCUGCUGCACACACUCUACCACCUGCCUGCAGGGAGACCCAGUGGAGACGUAGCGUGCGCUGGAGAGCGUCCUUCAGGGAGGUGACAGCCGAUUGCAGAGCAACGCUGAGACCCACCUGACAGCAAAGGCGCCUGGUGGCCACGGACGACCCUAGGUGGAGAGAUCCAUGUGGACAUGCUCGGUCACAGAGGCAA